rnacentral:rRNA from 1 species
GAUGAACGCUGGCGGCGUGCUUAACACAUGCAAGUCGAGCGAACGGACGAGACGCUUGCUUUUCUGAUGUUAGCGGCAGACGGGAGAGUCACACGUGGAUUACCUCCCUGUCAGACUGGUAUAUAUUCGGGAAUCCGGCUCUAAUACCAUAGAAUAUUUUGCACCACAUGGUUGAAACGCAAGAUACGGUCUUGCUGUCACUUAUAGCUGGAUACGCGCUGCGUUAGCUAGUUGGUAAGGUCACGGCUUACCAAGGCUACGAUGCAGAGCCGACAUGAGAGGGUGAUCGGCCACACUGGAACUGAGACACGCUCCAGACGCCUACGGGAGGCAGCAGUAGGGAAUCUUCCGGAAUGGGCGAAAGCCGGACGGAGCAACGCCGCGGGAGGGAUGAAGGUCUUCGGAUCGGAGAGCUCUGUUAUUAGGGAAGAACAUAUGUGUAAGUAACUGGGCACAUCUUGACGGUACCUAAUCAGAAAGCCACGGCUAACUACGUG